GGCUCCUGUGUUCUUUCUUCGAUAGCUGGUGCUGUCUCUUGGGCUAUGCUGACCUAGGCUGGACUAAUUCCCUUGAGCAGGCUCAUAUUCAGGUUCUCAAAACUGAGCCCAGUUUGCUGUAGGAGCUGUAUGAACAGGUUUCUGCUGGCUCUCAGAAGGACUUGUAAUCAGGAGAAAAAAAGUGAUGUUUUGCAAGUAAAGAAGGUAAUUCUCCAGGAAUGGAGUUAAAAGAGAGAUUAUAUGCUCCUUACUCUGUGGUCCAAGUUUGCUGCUCAGCUCCAAUCAUUGUGCCUACAUUUCAACCAACAGAAAGAUGGGAAGACCUAAAGAAGGGUGGAUACUCCUUUGAAAGACAUUUCCUGGAAGGAGCACAUACAACUUCCAUGUAGAUCCCAUUGCUGAAACUUACUCACAUGGCUACACCUAGCUGUAAGGGAAGCUAGAAAAUGUAAUCCUUAUUCUGCACCAUUGAUACAACCUAAACAUUGGGAAUUUUAUUAGUAAGGAAGAAAGGGGAAAAGGAUAUUGGGGGUAGCUAGGAAACAAUGCCACAUAUACAUCAAUAAAGAAACAAUGAAAUACAA